CAGCAGCCGCGGUAAUACGUAGGUGGCAAGCGUUGUCCGGAAUUAUUGGGCGUAAAGCGCGCGCAGGCGGAUCAGUUAGUCUGUCUUAAAAGUUCGGGGCUUAACCCCGUGAUGGGAUGGAAACUGCUGAUCUAGAGUAUCGGAGAGGAAAGUGGAAUUCCUAGUGUAGCGGUGAAAUGCGUAGACAUUAGGAAGAACACCAGUGGCGAAGGCGACUUUCUGGACGAAAACUGACGCUGAGGCGCGAAAGCCAGGGGAGCGAACGGGAUUAGAUACCCCAGUAGUCCCUGUCUCUUAUACA
rnacentral:rRNA from 1 species